rnacentral:snoRNA from 1 species
UUUAGUGAUGAUAUAUGUCAUUGAGACAUACUAAAAAGUGACUAGCAAACUUUUGUUUGCAAUGCUGUUUACUUAAAUUACACCAUCUUUCGGGACUGAUU